UUCGUAUUUUGUGUUUUGAUAAACGUUGUAAAGCUUCCAUCUCUUUUUCGUUAUGACUUCCCCAGUCUUGGAGAAAUUUAGUAAAGUUGAUAUGAUCGAUUGGUUCCUGCUCUAGAAAAUGAAAGGCCAUCUAGAAUACAUCAAACAUCAUCUGUUAGCAAACUUAUAUUAAACGAUGAAUAGAAAAACAAAGAUUGUCUUCUAUUCGUUGAUUUGGUCCUUACCCAACGGCAAAUGCCUGCCUUUGCACAGCUGUAUAAUUUCAAAGCUUCAUUGUUUAGAGUUUCUUUAUUAAGUAAAAGUUCAUUAGUGUAUUUAACAAGGCCAUCUUCCCUCAUACAAUUUUGGCGUUCCAGUUCUAUAUUCUCUAGCCUCUCUAAAGCAUUGCUAAUAAGAGAAUAUUCCCAAAGAAUUUGUUGACUAUCCGGCUGAGUUUGGGUAAUCGGAAGGUUUUGAAAUGAAGAAGGGUCAAGCGAAAGAUUGAAGCAAUACUCAAUGAAUGCGAUAUCCAUGAAUAUCGGCAUUUUUUCAUGACACAUUGAUUUCGAAUAACCCAAAUAUCGUAAGCAGGCUAAUUGGUUAAUGAUUUUCAAGAUUGGCUUUCAUACCGUUCACAAUGGAAGAUUCUUCUCUCUGCAUAUCAUAAUGAUUUUCCUUGAUGAAAAACGUUUCUAGUGUAUUCAGCACAGAUUGUGAACGAAUCUUCUCAUUCAUUUUAUGGAAAAAACUAAUCUAUACACGAAGGAUAAAAGUAUAAAAAGUUGGUAAAGUCAAUGUAAGUUGGUCUACGAGAUAAAAUGAAUACCAUUCCGUAAGAGAAAAUAAAUCAUUUAAUAAAGAAAUCUAAAAACGAAUGGAUCGAAUAGCUUUGUCUACUGUUAUGUUUCUUGGAACAUCGUACAGAAGACGAAUUUAACUCCUUAAAGAAGUGUAUUUUGUUUAAUGUUAUAAAUUAUUCCCUUAAACAGUGAACUGCUUUAUCCAAAAAAGCGGUAAGCAAAAUUUCCAAAUGAAAAAAGUAUUUGAAUGGAAGAUCGACUUUGGCGUGACAAAAGAAUAAAUUUUACUCUCCAUUUUAAGUCCUUCAUUUUCAUAACGCUAUGCCAAUUACCUUGGAUCACGGUGGUGUUUGUGCCUUAAGACAUGAAAAGCUUACGAAAUAAACAUGCUUUAGGCGAUUGAUCAUUUCUUCCAAGAUAUUUUUCCUUAUUCAAUCUCAAAAAUUACUCUAAUUUGUUAUUUGCUAGAACUAAAUGAUCCAUCUGAUUGAAUGUUUUUACUACCCAAGCCUCUUAAGAUUCUAUCCGAAGUUCUUUAUUUACUUGUGCACAAAACCCGAAGGAAUGGGAAAAGCAAUUAUCUAUCUAGUAAGACAAAAAACAUUAGAUACUGUCCUUUGAUUAUAAUUUCAAUGGAUUCUUAAAGUUGAAUAUUCAGUGCUAGCUUCUUUAUAUUAUAGACAUUCAAAGUAAACUUGAGAACGAAGAAAAGGAAUAUUGGAUAUUU